GACAGAGGUGCCGAGCGUUAGGCGGAAUCACUGGGCUUAAAGCGUGUGUAGGCGGGCCGUUAAGUAUCUUGUGAAAUCCCCCGGCUCAACCGGGGAAUGGCUGGAUAUACUGGCGGUCCUGAGCAGUCUAGGGGCAGAUGGAACAAGUGGUGGAGCGGUGAAAUGCGUAGAUAUCACUUGGAACGCCAAAGGUGAAAACAGUCUGCUGGGGACUUGCUGACGCUGAGACACGAAAGCCAGGGGAGCGAACGGG
rnacentral:rRNA from 1 species